AACGAACGCUGGCGGCAGGCUUAACACAUGCAAGUCGAACGCCCCGCAAGGGGAGUGGCAGACGGGUGAGUAACGCGUGGGAACAUACCCUUUCCUGCGGAAUAGCUCUGGGAAACUGGAAUUAAUACCGCAUACGCCCUACGGGGGAAAGAUUUAUCGGGGAAGGAUUGGCCCGCGUUGGAUUGGCUAGUUGGCGGGGUAAAGGCCUACCAAGGCGACGAUCCAUAGCUGGUCUGAGAGGAUGAUCAGCCACAUUGGGACUGGGACACGGCCCAAGCUCCUACGGGAGGCAGCAGUGGGGAAUAUUGGACAAUGGGCGCAAGCCUGAUCCAGCCAUGCCGCGUGAGUGAUGAAGGCCUUAGGGUUGUAAAGCUCUUUCACCGAUGAAGAUAAUGACGGUAGUCGGAGAAGAAGCCCCGGCUAACUUCGUGCCAGCAGCCGCCGUAAGAC
rnacentral:rRNA from 1 species